rnacentral:rRNA from 1 species
UUGUGACCCCAGGUCA